rnacentral:misc_RNA from 1 species
GAUGAAGAACGUAGCGAAAUGCGAUAAGUAAUGUGAAUUGCAGAAUUCAGUGAAUCAUCGAAUCUUUGAACGCACAUUGCGCCCCUUGGUAUUCCGAGGGGCAUGCCUGUUCGAGCGUCAUUAUAACCCCUCAAGCUUAGCUUGGUGUUGGGGCCUGCUGUAAUAGAGCAGCCCUUAAAAUCAGUGGCGGUGCCAUUAGGCUCUAAGCGUAGUAAUUCUUCUCGCUAUAGGGCUCUGGUGGAUGCUUGCCAUUAACCUCUAAUUUUCUAUGGUUGACCUCGGAUCAGGUAGGGAUACCCGCUGAACUUAAGCAUAUCAAUAAGCGGAGGA